UGCAAUCAAAAAGGGAGCUCGCAAACGGGCUGAGAGGAAGCUGUGCGCUUCGACCUGUGACCUGAUUUGGGUAAUGCCAACGUAGGGAGAUUAUGGUAUGCGUAC
rnacentral:ncRNA from 2 species